UAGGGAAUCUUCCGCAAUGGGCGAAAGCCUGACGGAGCAACGCCGCGUGAGUGAUGAAGGUCUUCGGAUCGUAAAACUCUGUUAUUAGGGAAGAACAAAUGUGUAAGUAACUAUGCACGUCUUGACGGUACCUAAUCAGAAAGCCACGGCUAACUACGUGCCAGCAGCCGCGGUAAUACGUAGGUGGCAAGCGUUAUCCGGAAUUAUUGGGCGUAAAGCGCGCGUAGGCGGUUUUUUAAGUCUGAUGUGAAAGCCCACGGCUCCACCGUGGAGGGUCAUUUGAAACUGUAGAACUUGAGUGCAGAAGAGGAAAGUGGAAUUCCAUGUGUAGCGGUGAAAUGCGCAGAGAUAUGGAGGAACACCAGUGGCGAAGGCGACUUUCUGGUCUGUAACUGACGCUGAUGUGCGAAAGCGUGGGGAUCAAACAGG
rnacentral:rRNA from 1 species